GAUGAACGCUGGCGGCGUGCCUAAUACAUGCAAGUCGAGCGAACAGACGAGGAGCUUGCUCCUCUGACGUUAGCGGCGGACGGGUGAGUAACACGUGGAUAACCUACCUAUAAGACUGGGAUAACUUCGGGAAACCGGAGCUAAUACCGGGUAAUAUAUUGAACCGCAUGGUUCAAUAGUGAAAGACGGUUUUGCUGUCACUUAUAGAUGGAUCCGCGCCGCAUUAGCUAGUUGGUAAGGUAACGGCUUACCAAGGCAACGAUGCGUAGCCGACCUGAGAGGGUGAUCGGCCACACUGGAACUGAGACACGGUCCAGACUCCUACGGGAGGCAGCAGUAGGGAAGCUGCCGCAAUUGGCGAAAGCCUGACGGAGCAACGCCGCGUGAGUGAGGAAGGUCUUCGGAUCGUAAAACUCUGUUAUUAGGGAAGAACAAAUGUGUAAGUAACUAUGCACGUCUUGACGGUACCUAAUCAGAAAGCCACGGCUAACUACGUG
rnacentral:rRNA from 1 species